AUGACGCGAACUUCCGCGUUUGCUGGCUUCUUAUUGACGCUCAACUUAGGGACCGUGCGAUUUUUCUCUUUUUCGCGUUUUUUAACGGUAUUGUGUUACUUUUGUGUCUAUUUUCAGAAUAAAAGAAUAUAUAUAUAUUUUUUUUAUGCAAAUAACACUGAUAUAUCAGCGAAAAUGGACUGUAAAAAUAUAAAGGCACAUAAUUAGGCUACAGUAUUCUUUAAUAAUUGUACAUGUCAUCAGCUCAACUUAGGGACCAUUUUUCUCUUAUUUACACUUUUUAGGGACCCUGAUUAUUUUGUAGGCCUAUCUAUUUUCAGAAAAGAAUAAUACACUAUUUUGAAAGGCUACAAAUGAAAAUGUAAAAAAGUAACCAGAGAUUAUGCUCCAGCUUGGAUCCAGCCCCUUAUGAAGACUUCAGACACAUUUGAAGAGAUGAAACCUAUCCUGCAAGGACUCCAGAACAUCAAACAUGGAUGAUUAUAAAUAAAUGAUCAUUUUAUCAUUGCUUUAAACUGCACAUGAAUUGUUGCUUAAAAUGCCUGCGUUUGUAAAUACUAAUUUGUUCUAUCUAAUAACUGUACUUUCUGAUAUCUCAUAAAAUCCUACUGUGGUUUUGUAAAAGAAAUCUGCAUUUUCUGUAAAGCUGCUUUGAAAUAUGUGUUGUGAAAAGUGUUAUACAAAUGAAUGUAUGAAUUAAAUUGAAUUGACUUGAAA